AUGCUGUUCAUCUACGGCCACUACAAACAAGCGACUGUGGGCAAUGUAAAUACAGGAUGGCCUGGGAUGUUGGACUUCAAAGGCAAGGCCAAGUGGGAUGCCUGGAAUGAGCUGAAAGGGACUACCAAGGAAGAUGCCAUGAAAGCUUACAUCAACAAAGUAGAAGAGCUAAAGAAAAAAUAUGGAAUAUAAGAGACUGGAUUUGGCUGCCAACCAUGCAUUUAACCUAACCUGAUUCGAUGCCUUGUUUUUUCUAGUACUGUGGAUGAUGUGAAAUAGUGAAAACAGCCAGGUAACCCAGUUCCUCAAGGCUGUUCAGGAUACGG